AUUGAACGCUGGCGGCAUGCCUUACACAUGCAAGUCGAACGGUAACAGGUUAAGCUGACGAGUGGCGAACGGGUGAGUAAUGUAUCGGAACGUGCCCAGUCGUGGGGGAUAACUGCUCGAAAGAGCAGCUAAUACCGCAUACGACCUGAGGGUGAAAGCGGGGGAUCGCAAGACCUCGCGCGAUUGGAGCGGCCGAUAUCAGAUUAGGUAGUUGGUGAGGUAAAGGCUCACCAAGCCGACGAUCUGUAGCUGGUCUGAGAGGACGACCAGCCACACUGGGACUGAGACACGGCCCAGACUCCUACGGGAGGCAGCAGUGGGGAAUUUUGGACAAUGGGCGCAAGCCUGAUCCAGCCAUGCCGCGUGCGGGAAGAAGGCCUUCGGGUUGUAAACCGCUUUUGUCAGGGAAGAAAGGGUUCUGGCUAAUACCUGGGACUCAUGACGGUACCUGAAGAAUAAGCACCGGCUAACUACGUG
rnacentral:rRNA from 1 species